CAGUCACCAUCCUUACCAUGAAAGAGAAGAGGUUGUGAUUCCCCACUCUGUGUGAUGGUGCUGAUGCUGCUUCUUUAAUAGAUAAUAGAGACGUGCACAGAUACUGAUGCUCAUGUUCACCUCAGAUGGCCAUCCGAACACGCUUAGUUCAGCCAGCAGAACCAACAGGAAGUCAAUGACAGUUUAAAAUCCUGAAAGUGGAAAAUGAAGCCAAGUUAGAAAUUGCAAAAAUAGAAUGAUGGCAUCAAACAGGAGAAAGAGGAUUAUAGUCAACCUAACCCAUAAAGAGGAAACUAACCUUCAGAUAUAUGUGGGAAAUAAUGAUCUAAUCCAUAUUGUAACAUGGGAUCGGGGAUUGUUUAACAAGAAAAGUUCAUGCAAAUGUCAUGCUGCUCCACUCUCAGAAGAUGAAUGUGAUAAGAAGCGUGUUUCAAGAAGAGUAUUUACAUCAGUCAUCCAGAAAUUUGUUUACUCUAGUCUGAAAUCUAUGCCAAGUUAUUGCAAACAUUUUUAGGAUUUGUGUUAUGCAAUUCCAGAAGGGCUGCUUAUGUUAUGGGCAUGUAUUCUGUUCUUUGAUCUGUGCUACAGAAAUUAAAGCAGUUCCACAGAUGCCAUAGGAAUAGAGAGGCAUACUGCAAGUUUCCAAAUAUUCUUAGAUUUCUGAGAGUGAUAUAAAUGAAAAUAGAGGCUCCUUUCAGUCUGUCAGUCAUUUACACUAAUUCUAGGACUGAAUUCUGUUUAGAUAUUAAAUUUUAAAAAAUGGCAUAUGGUUAAAAUUAGUGGAUGAGGGCUCCCGGGAGUUUAGUACUAAAAUUAGAGAAAUGUGUGAGUAUCAGGAGAGGGAAAAUAGAAAUAUUAUAGAAAAUUUUCCCUCUGUUGAUACUCACACCUUCUUGUCAACU